AAAGAAGAGUCCAAGCUGUUAAACUAUGAAGACAGUGCCGAGUCACUCGCAAGGCCGACGUAUUUGUGCUUUCCUUGCUGUAACAGAAACAGAGCUCAAAAUGAGGAGCACGAAGAAAAAAUCCCCUCUGGGCUUGUAGAAAAUAUGACAAAGGACAAUGAAGCGUGUUCGUUAAGCUGUGAGAUGAACCAGGAAGACAGUGUAGAGUCAUUUACAGGUGCUAUGUACCUGUGUUUCCCCUGCUUCUACAGAAACAGAACACAUAGAAAGAAAGAAAAAGCUGCAGAGAGGACUGGAUUAUUUGCUCGAUUCAGAAAAUUCUUUUCAAGGACCGUCCAAAGGAUGAGGCAGU